CAAAUAAUAUUGCUAUUGAUCUUUCUUGUGAUCCUUCUUGUAGCAAUUAACAUUGGACAAAUAGUUGGAUAUUUUCAUUUACUCUGGCUAUUUCCAUCAUGUAUCCUUGUCAUAUUGAUCCAGCCAUGUUUUCAGUGGUGUUGGCGACACAGGAUGAGAAUUGUUGAUGUUGUAACGUUCAUGAAGUCAUUGGAUGGUUGACUACAGUGGUUUAGUUAUGAAGUUUGUACAUAUUUUUAACAUACAUUUAUAAAUUAGCUUUAAUCAAGGGUAGAUUGAAGUAAAUUUAAAAUAAGGCCAUAGUGUCGAGGUUACUUCGCAUAUUUAGAUGCGACCGCAUUGUCAGUUUAAUUAGCAAAUUGUAGGUAUUGUCAAGUUUCUUAUCAGCCAUUUACAUGCCCUAUUCGCAGAAUGACUAGAAGGUUUCAUCAGUGCAUUGAGGUUAACUCGUUUCUAGGGACAUCCUAGGUUGGACUGUUUUGUAUAAUACCCUCCUAGAUAGUUCUAUCAUACUAGGGGACAUUUGGUUUGAAUAGUAGCCUAGUUUAUCAUCUUUAUUGUGAUAUUUAGAACAUCUUUAUAUUAGUCCAUGAGGUCAACUCGCUCUUAGUGAUAUACUGAGUCUGGACUACGAGAUAUUUCUAAUUGAUAUUGAUCACUAGGUAUUCACCAUGCAGUAUCCUCUAGGAAGAUUCUAGGAUAAGUUGGCAUUUGUAGAGGCAGAAACUUGAACUUGUACAUACUACCAUCUAACUACUGCUACUUAUUCCUCAUAGUCUACUUAUUCCUCGUAUAGUUUUCUUUUUUUUUUAAAUUAGGGGGUGAGUGUGACCUGUCGUGUUUUACAACAGACAGGUCUCGGUAAUAUUUCUAAUAUAAUCAUAAGCAUAGUACAUAGGCUGUACAAUAUGAUGAGCCAUUAUUUUGAUAACAUAAUUAGCGCCCUCUGUAGUUACAGAAACUUUUUAUUGCAACGCCCUCGCUUGGUUCCUUAACUUUCCUGCAAUCACAUUCUAGCAUAACUAGCUGCAUUGGCCAGGAACAUUUCAACAUACCUUGCAUUCCAGAAUAUUGUUAACACUUUCUGAGCUGCAUUGCGAGCUGCAUAACUUAGCUUUCGUGUCAUGACAAGGCAUUGCUAGAGACACUCAUCCACUUGCUUGCGAUCAGACCACACCUAUAAUUCAGAAGUGCUCUGAUUAUAGCUCAACUACAGCUAGUUGGGGACAAUUUCCCCUUCGUUUGGUGGUGGCACGACCGUUGUUCAGCCUAGGCGACGUACAACUGUAUACCCAUUUGACUGUCGUUUUUUUUGUAUAUAUAUUCGAGAGAGCCACAACUGUAUAUUUUGUAUAGAUUCAUCCGAAUAAAUUAAUCAAAUCUAGUCA